rnacentral:lncRNA from 1 species
AUAGUCUAGCCAAGUGCCAUGUCUCUUAUUCUUGAUCAGCUAUAGCUCUAGAGUUUUUUUGCAGAUUUUCAAAUAAAACUCAGAGAUUCCUUGUAUGAUUCUCUCAGGUCUCUCUUUUGUGGUAUUUUUGGAUCCUUACCAAGGAAGUGAUGGUAUAUGCCUUCUCUCAAUAUAUGUGGUAUUUGUGGUAUGAGGCAUAGUGACAUUGCCUUCUCUCUCAUCCUACUCUAAUAAGGCUUUAAUAUCUGGAGCUCAUAGGUGGGAGAUAAAAUAUACAUACUUACAAGACAUUUAUUGCAUAGUCAAACCAUGGAUCCAAAGAAACAAUAUCAAUAAGUCAAAUCAAGAUGUGCAUGUGUGGCGAAUGAAUGGUGUAUGGUGAUGAUGGUGAUAACAAUGAUGGAAACAAUGGUGGUGGAAGUCUAAUUCUACUUUGCUCUUUUGAGGGGAUACAUACCUUCCUUGCUUUUGAAACGUUAUGAGGAGAAUGAGAUGCUCUUCUUUUUCUUUUCUUUUCUCUCAGGUGGGUAUCUUGUACCCCUAAUUCUACUGUCGGACACUUGUCCAUUUUUACCUCUCGUCUCACUUUUUCUUUCGAGGUUCCGAGCACUUGCUCCUUUUUAUUUCCUCGUAUUAUUAUUUCUUUUCUUUUUUUAGAGUACUCAACUCUUGAGAUAAUAUAGCAAGUGGUAGUAACAAGAUAACUUGAGCAUUUAUUUCACAAGGGGAAAACAGAAAUAUUUUUGGUUAUUCUCUCCCGGAUUAGGAGUAGAAUAUUUUUAGGUGAUUCUGGAGAUGGAAUGGGUGAAUAUAUGUGGAUGGUACUUCCGGAGUAGAAGUAGCAUAUAUGAGUGAACGUGCAAGUGAAAUCUUGAUUUAACCACAUGACAAGCUCCUAAGGGUCUACACAGCUUGACCACACUCAAUGCUCAUAAGCAGUAAAUAAUAAAUGUGUGGCUCAAAGUCUAGCAAGCAUGCAUAUAUGGCUGUGGUAGGAAUUUAAACUCUCAUCAUACAGGAACUCAUCACGCAAUAUUUUAAAGAUUUUCAAAGAUAAAAUUCUCCAGAAUUCUAGCAUCUCUAGAACAGAUAAACAGCAGCUCAACCUUCCCAUAUCAUAUCCGUUAACAACUUAGACUUCAGAUCAAGUUUUCAUCCCACAAGUUUAGAUCUAGAGCAAGCUUUAAAUUAUAACAGUUAUGUCUAAACUUGAGAGAGAACUUAAAAUGUGCAAAUUAGGCAGAGCAACUAUUCAUCACAUCCAUGCUUAAGUUUUAUUUAGAUACAGAUUAGCAUAGCCACU